rnacentral:rRNA from 1 species
UACGUAGGGACCAAGCGUUGUUCGGAUUUACUGGGCGUAAAGGGCGCGUAGGCGGCGCGGUAAGUCACUUGUAGAAUCUCUGAGCUUAACUCAGAACGGCCAAGUGAUACUGCAGUGCUAGAGUGUGGAAGGGGCAAUCGGAAUUCUUGGUGUAGCGGUGAAAUGCGUAGAUAUCAAGAGGAACACCUGAGGUGAAGACGGGUUGCUGGGCCAACACUGACGCUGAGGCGCGAAAGCCAGGGGAGCAAACGGG